rnacentral:rRNA from 1 species
CGGCGCACGGGUGAGUAACACGUAUCCAACCUGCCGAUAACUCGGGGAUAGCCUUUCGAAAGAAAGAUUAAUACCCGAUGGUAUAAUCAGACCGCAUGGUCUUGUUAUUAAAGAAUUUCGGUUAUCGAUGGGGAUGCGUUCCAUUAGGCAGUUGGUGAGGUAACGGCUCACCAAACCUUCGAUGGAUAGGGGUUCUGAGAGGAAGGUCCCCCACAUUGGAACUGAGACACGGUCCAA